UACGGGGGGAGCAAGCGUUGUUCGGAUUUACUGGGCGUAAAGAGCUCGUAGGCGGCUUGUUACGUCGACUGUGAAACCCGCGGCUCAACCGUGUGGUCUGCAGUCGAUACGGGCAGGCGUAGAAUUCGGUGAGGGGAGACGUGGAAUUCCUGGUGUAGCGGUGAAAUGCGCAGAGUAUCAGGAAGAACACCCGUGGCUAAGGCGGUUCUCUAGUACGGUACUGACGCUGAGACGCGGAAAGCGUGGGGAGCGAACAGG
rnacentral:rRNA from 1 species